rnacentral:rRNA from 1 species
UACGUAGGGGGCAAGCGUUGUCCGGAUUUAUUGGGCGUAAAGAGCGUGUAGGCGGCUUCACAGGUCCGCUGUGAAAACUCGAGGCUCAACCUCGAGACGCCGAUGGAAACCAUCUGACUAGAGUCCGGAAGAGGAGAGUGGAAUUCCUGGUGUAGCGGUGAAAUGCGCAGAUAUCAGGAAGAACACCCGUGGCUAAGGCGGCUCUCUAGUACGGUACUGGCGCUGAGACGCGAAAGCGUGGGGAGCGAACAGG